rnacentral:rRNA from 1 species
UACGAAGGGGGCUAGCGUUGCUCGGAAUCACUGGGCGUAAAGCGCACGUAGGCGGAUUGUUAAGUCAGGGGUGAAAUCCUGGAGCUCAACUCCAGAACUGCCUUUGAUACUGGCGAUCUUGAGUCCGGGAGAGGUGAGUGGAACUGCGAGUGUAGAGGUGAAAUUCGUAGAUAUUCGCAAGAACACCAGUGGCGAAGGCGGCUCACUGGCCCGGUACUGACGCUGAGGUGCGAAAGCGUGGGGAGCAACAGGAGUUAAGAU